rnacentral:rRNA from 1 species
UACAGAGACUGCAAGCGUUAUUCGGAUUUACUGGGCGUAAAGGGUGCGCAGGCGGCCGUGUGUGUGAGGCGUGAAAGCCUGGAGCUUAACUCCAGAAUUGCACCUCAAACUACAUGGCUAGAGCAUUGGAGAGGGUAGCAGAAUUCAUGGUGUAGCAGUGAAAUGCGUAGAUAUCAUGAGGAAUACCAGUGGCGAAGGCGGCUACCUGGACAAUUGCUGACGCUCAGGCACGAAAGCGUGGGGAGCAAAAGGG